AACGGCGAGUGAAGCGGCAACAGCUCAAAUUUGAAAUCUGGCCGCAAGGUCMGAGUUGUAAUUUGCAGAGGAUGCUUUUGGCGAGGUGCCUUCCGAGUUCCCUGGAACGGGACGCYAUAGAGGGUGAGAGCCCCGUACGGUAGGACCACCGAGCCUUUGUAAAGCUCCUUCGACGAGUCGAGUAGUUUGGGAAUGCUGCUCUAAAUGGGAGGUGUACGUCUUMUAAAGCUAAAUACCGGCCAGAGACCGAUAGCGCACAAGUAGAGUGAUCGAAAGAUGAAAAGCACUUUGAAAAGAGGGUUAAAAAGUACGUGAAAUUGUUGAAAGGGAAGCAUUCAUGMCCAGACUUGGGCUUGGUUGAACAUCCGGCGUUCUCGCCGGUGCACUCUGCCAGUCCAGGCCAGCAUCAGUUUGCCCCGGGGGACAAAGGCGGUGGGAAUGUGGCUCUCUCCGGGGAGUGUUAUAGCCCGCCGUGUAAUGCCCUGGGGCGGACUGAGGAACGCGCUUCGGCUCGGAUGCUGGCGUAAUGGUCAUCAAUGACCCGUCUUGAAACACGGACCAAGGAGUCGUCUUCGUAUGCGAGUGUUCGGGUGUCAAACCCCUACGCGAAAUGAAAGUGAACGUAGGUGAGAGCUUCGGCGCAUCACCGACCGAUCCUGAUGUUCUCGGACGGAUUUGAGUAAGAGCAUACGGGGCCGGACCCGAAAGAAGGUGAACUAUSCCUGUAUAGGGUGAAGCCAGASGAAACUCUSGUGGAGGCUCGCAGCGGUUCUGACGUGCAAAUCGAUCSUCAAAUAUGGGCAUGGGSCGAAAGACUAAUCGAMUCUUCUAGUAGCUGGUU
rnacentral:rRNA from 1 species